AGUGAACGCUGGCGGUAGGCCUAACACAUGCAAGUCGAACAGCAGCACAGUAAGAGCUUGCUCUUACGGGUGGCGAGUGGCGGACGGGUGAGGAAUACAUCGGAAUCUACUUUUUCGUGGGGUAUAACGUAGGGAAACUUACGCUAAUACCGCAUACGACCUACGGGUGAAAGCAGUGGAUCUUCGGACCUUGCGCGAUUGAAUGAGCCGAUGUCGGAUUAGCUAGUUGGCGGGGUAAAGGCCCACCAAGGCGACGAUCCGUAGCUGGUCUGAGAGGAUGAUCAGCCACACUGGAACUGAGACACGGUCCAGACUCCCACGGGAGGCAGCCGUGGGGAAUAUUGGACAAUGGGCGCAAGCCUGAUCCAGCCCUACCGCGUGGGUGAAGAAGGCCUUCGGGUUGUAAAGCCCUUUUGUUGGGAAAGAAAAGCAGCAGGUUAAUACCCCGCUGUUCUGACGGUACCCAAAGAAUAAGCACCGGCUAACUUCGUG
rnacentral:rRNA from 1 species